rnacentral:lncRNA from 1 species
AAGUCAGAUGAUUUAUAUGGCAAUCAUGUAUAAGGUUUGUGUUUUAGUUUCCCAGUGCAAUCUCAAACGUCUUACCCUUUGGUGACUUUUCUCUUCUUACACAUCUAUGCAGGCCUCUUUUUCCUGGAGACAAUGCAUAAUGGCACUUACAAGAAAUCGUCAGUCUCUUUCUUCAAAGUAGAACACAAUGAAGUUCAUGGCAGAUAGUGAUUCAUGGUUAGAUUAAUUAGAAACUAAAUGAAGGAGACCAGAGUGUUUAGUUAUCUAUUAAUGCAUAACAAACUACCUCAACACUUAGUAGCUUAAUACAACAACCAUUUUAUUAUGUCUCUCAAUUUUGUGGGUCAGGAAUUCACACAAGGCUCAGCGGCAUAAUUCUUAGGUUCUUUAUGGCAUAAAGCAAGUACACUUGGGGGUUGUCCACAGGCAGAUGGGCUAGUCUGGAGAGUCAGCUUCGUUCACAGAUCUGGUACCAUGACAGAGAUGCCUGGGAAGCUACACUCAGCUGGGACUGCCAAGGGGAGCACGUACACCGGGUCAUUCCAAGAUGGUCACCUCAGAAAAAUCGGACUUCCUAUGGGGCCAACUUCCCACUGAGCAAGUGCUCUGAAAGACAGAAGGUGGAAGUUCACAGUCUGUUGAGGCCACAGAGUGUCACUUCCACCAUUGCCGAUUGGUCAAGUAGUCCUGGAGCUCACAUAGGAGGGGACGUAGACCUGACCCUUCAAUAGAAGAAACAGAAGAGAAUUUGCAGCCAUUCUUUGAUGUACCUCCAAGAAUGGCUCCUGAGAGAGUGGCAGAGAGAACAUGACCUCAUUCAUUGCCUCAGCAAAAACUUACGGGGUGCCCACCACUGAGCACAGGAUGAUAUGCUGGGCUCUAGAACAAGUAUGUGAGCUAACUCGUGGGUUGCAGACCAGGACAGAUCUCAGACCAGGACAGCUCCCAGACGCUGACAACAGAUCUGGCUGGAACUGCCAAAGAGCCACACCCAGCUUGAGGGGCCUGGCCUCAGGCAGAAAGGUGCACGUGGUUACAGGGAGUUCCAGGCCUCACCGCCCCCCCCACCCCAGUAAUGUUCCUUCUGGCUGCCUGUGGACCCUUCAGCCCAUCGCUCCCCCCUCCACUGGCAGAAACAUGGAUAAAACCUUGUCCCUGUCAGCUGUCACCAAAGCCAUAGCUUUUGGAACAAUGGCUGAACUGGCC